AGCCUGAUGCAGCAACGCCGCGUGCGGGAUGACGGCCUUCGGGUUGUAAACCGCUUUUAGUAAGGAAGAAGGGGAGCUUGCUCCUUGACGGUACUUGCAGAAAAAGGACCGGCUAACUACGUGCCAGCAGCCGCGGUAAUACGUAGGGUCCGAGCGUUGUCCGGAAUUAUUGGGCGUAAAGAGCUCGUAGGCGGUUUGUCGCGUCUGCUGUGAAAUCCCGAGGCUCAACCUCGGGUCUGCAGUGGGUACGGGCAGACUGGAGUGCGGUAGGGGAGAAUGGAAUUCCUGGUGUAGCGGUGGAAUGCGCAGAUAUCAGGAGGAACACCGAUGGCGAAGGCAGUUCUCUGGGCCGUAACUGACGCUGAGGAGCGAAAGCGUGGGGAGCGAACAGGAUUAGAUACCCUGGUAGUCCACGCCGUAAACGUUGGGCGCUAGAUGUGGGGACCUUUCCACGGUUUCCGUGUCGUAGCUAACGCAUUAAGCGCCCCGCCUGGGGAGUACGGCCGCAAGGCUAAAACUCAAAGGAAUUGACGGGGGCCCGCACAAGCGGCGGAGCAUGCGGAUUAAUUCGAUGCAACGCGAAGAACCUUACCAAGGCUUGACAUAUACGAGAACGCUGCAGAAAUGUAGAACUCUUU
rnacentral:rRNA from 1 species